rnacentral:rRNA from 1 species
GAAGCGAACCCGGGGAACUGAAACAUCUCAGUACCCGGAGGAAAAGACAUCAACCGAGAUUCCGUUAGUAGUGGCGAGCGAACGCGGACCAGGCCAGUGCCUUUCAUUAAAUUAGCAGAACACUUUGGAAAGAGUGGCCAUAGCGGGUGACAGCCCCGUAUGCAAAAAUGAUGUGAAAGGACUCGAGUAGGGCGGGACACGUGAAAUCCUGUCUGAACAUGGGGGGACCACCCUCCAAGCCUAAAUACUCGUACAUGACCGAUAGCGAACAAGUACCGUGAGGGAAAGGUGAAAAGCACCCCGAUUAGGGGAGUGAAACAGUACCUGAAACCGAAUGCUUACAAGCAGUUGGAGCCCCAUAGGGGGUGACAGCGUACCUCUUGCAUAAUGGGUCAGUGACUUAAUCUAACAUGCAAGCUUAAGCCGUUAGGUGUAGGCGUAGCGAAAGCGAGUCUGAAUAGGGCGACUGAGUAUGUUGGAUUAGACCCGAAACCCGGCGAUCUAGGCAUGACCAGGUUGAAGGUGCGGUAACACGCACUGGAGGACCGAACCGUUUAAUGUUGAAAAAUUAUCGGAUGAGUUGUGUUUAGGGGUGAAAGGCCAAUCAAGCCGGGAAAUAGCUGGUUCUCCGCGAAAUCUAUUGAGGUAGAGCGUCAGAUGUAUGCCGAUGGGGGUAGAGCACUGGAUGGGCUAGGGCU